AGCGAACGCUGGCGGCAGGCCUAACACAUGCAAGUCGAACGAACUCUUCGGAGUUAGUGGCGGACGGGUGAGUAACACGUGGGAACGUGCCUUUUGGUUCGGAUUAACUCAGGGAAACUUGUGCUAAUACCGAAUGUGCCCUUCGGGGGAAAGAUUUAUCGCCAUUAGAGCGGCCCGCGUCUGAUUAGCUAGUUGGUGAGGUAACGGCUCACCAAGGCGACGAUCAGUAGCUGGUCUGAGAGGAUGACCAGCCACACUGGGACUGAGACACGGCCCAGACUCCUACGGGAGGCAGCAGUGGGGAAUCUUGCGCAAUGGGCGAAAGCCUGACGCAGCCAUGCCGCGUGAAUGAUGAAGGUCUUAGGAUUGUAAAAUUCUUUCACCGGGGACGAUAAUGACGGUACCCGGAGAAGAAGCCCCGGCUAACUUCGUG
rnacentral:rRNA from 1 species